rnacentral:tRNA from 1 species
GAAGGUAACAGCUCAGUGAUGGAGCAUGUGCUUAACAUGCAUGAGGUUCUGGGUUCAGUCCCCAGUACCUCCA